UCAGAGCUAUUUGCAGUGCAGUCAGGAACUCUCUGAAGAUCUGCUUCUUCAUCUGAAAUGUGAAGCAUUGGGUUCCAGUGCAACACUGGAGUGUGAAGCAUUUGUUGCCAGUGCAGCACUGGAGUGUGAAACUGUGUCUGUCCAGCAAUUGAAUGAGGUAUUCAGGUGCUGGUUUACCAAUAUAGUGUGAAGCAUUGGGUGCCAGCCCAGCACAAUUUGAUGGUACUUCUUGCAGUGACUGAAAUAGUCUAAUUUACUGUCCAGUGAAACAAGAACAACUUCUUUUAUGUGAUUAAGAAAAAUAUUAUUCCAGAGAGCUGAACUCCUAAUCAUUCUAAGCCUACAGUUUCAAGACCCCUAAAAUCCCCUGAAAUAAUGUGGAGACAUUCUUGACUUAUAGCCAGGUGUGGCUAUAAGCACUCUGCAAGUCUGUGAGAACUAGGAACCUACAAGAUGGUGAUAGAGCAUAAGAACUCUUGACAUAAUUCUUAUAGUGUAUAUCUGAAGCUACUAUGUUUCAAGAAAACAGUACACUGGCUGCAACAGCAGUAGGCAAGUGACUGCCUAGCAUGUGCCAGGCCACAAAUUCAAGUCUCAGCAGAAACACAAAAAAGCAUCAUAUUGCAACAGAAGAGAAUGUAAAGUCUAAUGAUUAAGACUUGGAUAUUUUGGGAAUGGUGAGAAUUUAUGUGCCACUAAGAAGACUGGAAAAGCAAGGAUCUGGGAGAUAGCUCAGCCAGCAUUGUCCUUUGUAGUCUCAGUGAGAGAAUAAUAAUGCUGUGUGAUACUUUGUGCUUGGACUGCAGACUAGAGGAGGGAGAUGGUGCAGGACAUGGAAAACAAAGAGUAGGUUUGUUAUUUUACAAAAUAGACACAACCCAGAAAUGAACACAUGAACUAGGAAGUUAGUGCAGUUCAUUGAAUAAAUCAGUCACAAUGGU